ensembl:lncRNA
AGUGCGUAAGUAGUUUGACUUCUUAAUGUGAAGAGCUCUCUCAAAAACCCUACUUGAAGAUUGGACUCCCUGCCCUGUGUUGCUGAGAGUUUUGGUCUUCAGUGACUCUUUUUACGACUUUGGAUGCUGCUGUGCAUUAAAUGCAAGCGCAUCAACCACUUCCAUUUCCAAUCACCCUAUGGGCCUUCUCUCAAGUCCUGCCUCUGUUCUACUACCCUUUGGCUUGUUUUGGAGAUUUCCUCAUUAAAACACUUGACUUCGACUUGGCAGUACACGCGAAGAACUGAAAGAUGGAUGCUACCAGAUACUGCAAUAAAUUCAAAUUCCCAUCAAACAAACCUCAGCAGCCAUUAACAUCCCCAGCUCCGAGGGAGAGAGAUCUUCCUGCCGGCCUGCACUCCCACACCAGGGUGACUGUUCCCUUGAGCUGCACCACAUAGCCAACAGAAGGUAAACUGUGAUGGUAAAUGACAAGGAAGACAAUGUGACCCAGGCCUUAUUUCUAUUGGUUCAGGAGGAACUCUUUAUAACAGCAAUAAGAAUGAUUGCUUUUUCCUUCCCCUUUCCUUUGACUUCUACAUGCUCCUCCUCAAAAAUGCAUUUAUCACAUUUGUAACGUGCAAUUAAAUACCCCAGACCUAAACACAAGAUCUUUAAGUCAAACCUUGAACAACUCUUAAGAUCUUCAACAACUCUUCCCAAACUUGCUGUGGUGAUCAGAGAAUUAGCAGAGGUCUCCAAGCAGAGCUCCUUGAUUCAGGCAGAGCAAUGCAACAAUUCUCAUUGCUGGGGAGAACAGAGCUCUAACAGAAAGACUCUAACAGACCAGUGGUGGUUUGCCAGUAGCUUUGCAGAUUUCCUAUCAGUGUCAGGGCAAGAAUGUGAUUUCCUCAACAAAUUUUCAGGUGCAGCUCUUCCUCAAAGAGAACUGAAAGGUUUACUUUGCCCCUGCUAUCAUGACAGCUAGGUCAAGUGAGUUUUUAAGUCAGAUACUCGUUAUAGAACAAUAUAUAAAAUAUGCAUACAUGAACUAUUCCAGGUAAUGAUCAGUAUGAUCACAGGAAGAAUCUAAGCAAGCAACAAGCAGCAACUAAAUGAAAGCAGCAACUAAAUGAAAUUGAGAUAGAGUUCAGUACAAGAGGAAGAGCCAUUUGUUUCCAUAGCUUAGAGCAGUAGGAAGGAACAAACCCACUGCAGGUUUUCAUAGACAGAGUCCCCCAGGUAAUUGGAGGAAUACUGAUCAGCCUAUGCACCCGUGCAUUACUGAAUGCACUAAACCAUCUGAAAGAGAACUAACAGCAGCGAUGCUGCCUGCUAUUUCCCUACAAGGGGCUGAUGUGCACCCAGCUGUCCUGAGGUCCCAGAGCUGGCUGUCCAGACCAGGGACUCACACUAACAAGCUGAAGGUCACUUUGAGGCUGGGGCACCCAAGGAUGUAUGUGUAUGGUACGUGUAUGGAAGGACAGAAACGGAGCACAAGUUUUGGGACCACAUGCCUACAUCUUACCCCUUUAUGGGAAGGCAGGCUAGGGAAAAGAAUCUCUGUCUUGGUUGAAAAGUGCUUCCUAAGCAUAACCUUGUGAAGUAAAACACUCAGAAAAACAAAAACAUCCCCCUCUGUUAGAAGCCCAUGCCAAAGAAGUGUAAGCACAUGCCUUAAGUUAAACAGAUGUUUAGGUUUUUGUCUGAGUGGGGCCUGUGCUGACUCUGCAGUACUGCAGAUUUGUGGGACCAGCCAGCAACAGCGCCAUCCCCUAACGCUGCUGGUACCUCUGCUGUGCUGAUACAUGCUCCUUGGUGUGCACACUCUGCCUCACACACCAGAUUUCUGUAACAUACACAAAGCCAUAGGAGUACUUUUCAACCUCCAGUAGCAUAUUAGACUCAAAUAAAGCAUUUGCAUUUCUU